UACGUAGGGGGCGAGCGUUGUCCGGAUUUAUUGGGCGUAAAGAGCGUGUAGGCGGUUCGGUAAGUCUGUCGUGAAAUCCUGAGGCUCAACCUCGGGCGUGCGAUGGAUACUGCCGGGCUAGAGGGUGGUAGAGGCGAGUGGAACUCCUGGUGUAGCGGUGGAAUGCGCAGAUAUCAGGAAGAACACCAACGGCGAAGGCAGCUCGCUAGGACGGUACUGACGCUGAGACGCGAAAGCGUGGGGAGCGAACAGG
rnacentral:rRNA from 1 species